UCCCUCUUAGCUCAGUGGUAGAGCGCGUCACUUGUAUUCUCACUGAAUAUGACGAGGUCAGUCGUUCAAGCCGGCUAGGGGGAA